CACAAACAACCAAUCAAAGAAAGCAUCACAUUAAGUUUAAGCAAAAACCAGCAAGAGAGAAAAUAGUAGACAACAAGCAAAACAUAAGCUACCAAGCCGGUCAAGCCACUGGCCAGACUAAGGAGAAGGCAAGUGGUAUGAUGGAUAGGGCCAAAGAUGCUGCUGCUUCAGCUCAAGACUCCAUGCAACAGGUUCAAUUUUGUUUUGAAUAAUAUUACAAAAUUAAUAUUAAAAUGUAUAUAUACACACGCACGUACAUAAAGAGAUAUAUGGUCAUAAUCAUAAAUGUGAAUCAUAGGCCGAACAAGAACACCUAACAACUUUCAGUUUUUUUUGUAAUAAUCCUCUGUUGGAGUUAUUUAAUAAAUUUGGGAUGUUUUUAAUUUCCCAUUACUGCAUGCUGUU